rnacentral:rRNA from 1 species
GACGAACGCUGGCGGCGUGCCUAAUACAUGCAAGUAGGACGCAGUCGCGAACGGGAGAGUAAAGCGUAGGUAACUGCCUAUUAGAGGGGGAUAACUAUUGGAAACGAUAGCUAAUACCGCAUACUAGUAGAUGGACCUGCGUUGUAUUAGCUAGUAGGUAGGGUAAUGGACUACCUAGGCAACGCUACAUACCCGACCUGGGAGGGGGGUCGGCCACACUGGGGAUGGGACCAGGCCCGGACUCCGUCGGGAGGAAGCAGUAGGGAAUCUUCGGCGAUGGGGGGAACCCUGACCGCGCAACGCCGCGUGAGGGAAGAAGGUUUUCGGGGCGUAAAGCUAUGUUGUUAAGGAAGCGGUACUUAACCAGAAAGGGACGGCUAACUACGUGCCAGCAGCCGCGGUAAUUC